UGGAAACCCCCCACUCUGCCCACCCUUGGAUGUCGGGCAGAACUGGGGGAGAAGAUGGCGGCCGGUACCUGUGGAGAAGAUGCGGUGGGGAUCGGCGAUCAUCGGUAGCAUCAGCGGAGAUCAGCGGCGCCGCCGCUUAGUACUAGGCCCCACAGCAACACUACAGCGAUGUGUGAACCCAGCCGGAGGAGACAUGCGCCUGUGUGAUCAUAACCAGGACAGAUUCUCUGGAAGUAAACGCCAAAGGUAUCAAGAACAAGUUGUAAGAAUAAAAAUAAUAAGAAGAACAAAAACCUAAUUAAUGGAGUCCACUGUCACUAAUAGACCCCUACAGUAGCCCCAGGACUAUGACCUUUCUGUAUCUAGACAACACUAGACAAAAUGACCUACAUAGCACUCGGCUUUGCUAGUUGCCCUGUAUACAUUAAAAGUGGAUGAUGUAUGGAAUCAAUAAUGUAACUGCAUUUAAUGAAUGCUGAUACUCAUGUGAUCUCUGAAUAUAUAGUUUAUUUCUGCAGCUUAAAGGGUUGUCUGAUGCCAUACAAUUGAUCUAGGCAGAUUGGUGCUACAGCUGUGUCAAAAUUAAAGGGCU